AUAUUUUGUAAGGUUGUUCUAGUUUUGUAACUAAAAUGGUUUGGCAGUGAGUGAUUCUUGUUAGGGGAAGAUGCAUAGUAAAGGAUGGUCCACCUAUUAAUUUACUCUUUUUAUGUUGGUGUAUGUCUGGUUUAAUAUUAUUGUUUAGUAAUGUAAGUUUGUGUAGUUUUAGUUAAGCUAAGUCUAUGUGCUGCUUAUAAGAGUUUUUGUGUGUUACAUUGAUAGGAAUAUUGUUGUAAUAUGGUAUUGU
rnacentral:rRNA from 1 species